rnacentral:misc_RNA from 1 species
AAGGAGCACAUCUCCAGAGGGCUUCACACAGGUUAAAGUUUCUCUGGCAGAGACCGUUUGAGUCCUCGAAUGUAGGACCACGGACGCUCAUGGGUGGAACACUGACAUGUGCCGAGCAAUGCUCGGAUGUAAUCGACUCACUAUUGGGUCCUGAAAGAACAGACGUUCUUUCCAGGCAAAAAACGAUCCGCUCAGAUCUCCUCGAUACCGCCGAAGAAUUUCGGUCAGGCCUUGGAAACCGAUUUGAUGCGGGUGUGUUGUUUGAGAACUGCACAGUGGACGCGAGCAUCUUUGUUA